GUCUGCGAGCAUGGGGCUGCCCACUCUUCCCUGGCGGGAGCUUUGUCUCCUCAGGGCCCUCAGGGCUCGGGCUCUGGGGUCACGGGGCUGCGUCCCGGCUGAGAGGAGCAGGGUUGCCUUUGUGCCCGCCAGCAGGGAGGCGCUGCAACAGGAGAAAAUGAGGAUGAAGUAGACGUUUCCUGUGUCCAGCUGAGCGCUGACCGGAGACUGCCCACAGUACUUCUUCAUUCCAUGUGGACUCCUUCAAGGACAGUGGAGCAUCACAGCUUCCCUUGAACUUCUCCUGGAAUGUUACUGAGAUGUUCAUUGAUUUGGACAAACUUGAUGGAUUUAAAGCAGACAAAUAUAUAGGUGAACUAUAAAGAAAGCUGAGCACAGAAGAAUGGAUGCUUUUGAACUGUGGUGUUGGAGAAGACUCUUGAGAGUCCCUUGGACUGCAAGGAAAUCCAACCAGUCCAUCCUAAAGGAAAUCCGUUCUGGGUGUUCAUCGGAAGGACUGAUGUUGAAGCUGAAACUCCAAUUUUUGGAGAGCUGACUCAUUUGAAAAGACCCUGAUGUUGGGAAAGAUUGAAGACAGGAGGAGACGGGGACGACAGCGGAUGAGAUGGUUAGAUGGCACCAGCGACCCAAUGGUUACGAGUUUGGGUAAACUCUGGGAGUUGGUGUUGGACAGGGAGGCCUGGCGUGCUGCGGUUCAAUGGGGGUCGCAAAGAGUCAGACACGACCAAGCGAAUGAACAGAACUGAACUGAACUGAAAAACAAAUGCUGUUCAAGGACACUGAAAGAACCCUGAUGUUGAAAAUCAGAUCUGUAUUGUGAGCAAUGCUUAGAAAUCCAUGAGUUGACACAUAGUAUUAAGCCUAUCAUCCUUGUAGUUCCCUCAGUGAAAUAUGUUGCGAAAAGCUCUUCCUUCAUGGUAUAGAUUCAUGAAGAAGCUAAAUAGCAUGAAUCCUUUACGUUGACAACUGUGAAUUUAAAUCUCCUGUGAAUCCUAUGUGACAACCACACAUACCAACAUGAUUUAUUAGUAUUAUAUCAAUAUUUUUAGUCCUACUGUCUUUCAACUAAAAAUGUCACUAUACAAUGGUACAUGAAGUCAAGACACAAAAUCAGGGCAAAUACAAAAUAUUCCAUCCUUUGAGAAAGGGAGCUAAAAAAUAAUGUGCUUUGCCUAUUGCAUUUUUAUGUAUUAGAUCCUUAAGUAUUUUAUUCACCACACCCAACUGAAUGGUUCACAAAAGUUUCAGAGAGGAAAGGAUUAUUUCUCUUUAACAAUAAGGAGUUCAACUGCUCUCAAAGCAAAUACCAGACGGUAAUCACCAUGAUGGACAAAGUUGAUUAUUCAUAUUUAUAUUACUCAUUCGUUAGCUUGCCAAAGGUUCUAGAUCUGUUACCACAUUUUUUAAAAAUAAUAUUCACAUGUGAAAGUGAAAGUGGCUCAGUGGUGCCUGACUCUUUGUGACGCCAUGGACUAUAGAGUCCAUGGCAUUCUCUAGGCCAGAAUACUGGAGUGGGUUGCCUGUCCCUUCUCCAGGGAAUCUUCCUGACCCAGGAAUGAAACCGGAGUCUCCUGCAUUCAGAAAAAUCAUGUCCUUUGAAUUUUCAUUUUAUUAUAUAGGAUCACGGCAAUGUGAUUACAUAAAAUUGUUUAGUUUCC
ensembl:lncRNA